rnacentral:tRNA from 15 species
GUGCCCGUAGCUCAAUUGGAUAGAGUAUCAGAUUCCGAUUCUGACGGUUGCAGGUUCGAUCCCUGUCGGGUGCGCCA